rnacentral:rRNA from 1 species
GUGCCAGCCGCCGCGGUAAUACGGAGGGUGCAAGCGUUAAUCGGAAUUACUGGGCGUAAAGCGCACGCAGGCGGUUUGUUAAGUCAGAUGUGAAAUCCCCGGGCUCAACCUGGGAACUGCAUUUGAAACUGGCAAGCUUGAGUCUUGUAGAGGGGGGUAGAAUUCCAGGUGUAGCGGUGAAAUGCGUAGAGAUCUGGAGGAAUACCAGUGGCGAAGGCGGCCCCCUGGACAAAGACUGACGCUCAGAUACGAAAGCGUGGGGAGCAAACAGGAUUAGAUACCCCCGUAGUCC